CACAGAGGUUUAUUAUUAAAAUAGGACAAGUCUGUCCUUCCUUACUAACCUCCUAACCAAAUGUAAAACAAAACGACAACUCCUCUCUUCUUCUUCCUUUCUUUUCCUUCAAAUCAUCACCAUCUUCUCUCAUCACUGUCACAUCAUUGCCGUCGUUCAGCCGCUGCUCCGUUCCGUCGUUCCACCAUUCCGCCGUUACUCCGUUCCGCCGUUACUCCGUUCUGCCAUUCCUCCGCUCUGCUAUUCCUCCAUUCCUCCGCUCUGCAUUCUUCUUAAAACCGACGCUGAGCCUCUGUUUUGGACUUGCCAAGCCAGGCCCUGUAAUGGAAACAUUCGGCUCAGAUGAACUAAUGUCACGUCAUGUGAAAUUGGAUGAAGUUAUUAUUACGAUGGUGCUUAAAUUAGAGCAAAUACGAUGAGUUUUAUGUAGCAUCGAUUAUAGUUCCGUAGUACCGACGCCAUUUGCAGCAGUAGUCAUUGAUUUUUGGAACAUAAAAGGCGGUCGUCGGAGCAUAAGCUAGAUGGCUACCGUUGUUUCCUGAGAUUUGACGGAAGGUUAUCGGUUGAUGUUGAUGACUGCGGCAUCGUUAGUUGUUGUUGGAGCAUAAAUGGAAGCCAUAUGCGGUCGUCGGAGCAGGGCAGGGCGUG